ensembl:lncRNA
AAUAGUUCUUAGGGGAUUUAAACGGUGCCUAUCUGAUAUAUACAUAUACAUGUUGUAAAAACUAGUCACUGUCCUUAUGAGAAAGUAUUUGGAGUGUAUAGAGACGGGAGUGAGGCAGAAGAAGACUUGCAUUCAGUCUCAGUGAACCAAUAAGGAAGACGUACUCCUGGGUAAGGCUGAGUGAUGUCAGAGCAGGGAAUAUGCAGCUUUAUGAAGGAGGAUAACUUGAGUUGUGCCUUCCAAUAUGAGGCAAAUGAAUUACAGCCACUGGACCUGUAUGACAUCUGAUAAGGAUCUUCCGGCUUUGAUAGUCUCUGCUAAGAAGUCUGCUGUAAUUCUGGUGUGUAGUCUUUCCUGUCUACUGGUCUUCAGCUGUUCCUUCGGCGUUGUCCUGAGUCCACCAGGCAGGUCACUUGGAACAGAAAGGUUGGUGUUACCUCUGGUCCAGGGCCUGAAGUCGCUCCUGGGGGGCUGCACUUGAGCUCUCAGUGAGGGCAGCAACCAGAAGGGC